AGUUCUACCCCAGGUAACAGAAAGCCCCAUGUAGCUGUAGUCCCAUAAAAAGACAGCUACAUGGGGCUUUCUGUUACCUGGGGUAGUACUG
rnacentral:pre_miRNA from 12 species